AAGCUUCUAGAUCAUGGGCUAGAUUUGACCUGCAUACAACAGUUUAGUGACCUGUGACUUUCGCAGUGCCUACAGAGAGAGGAGACCCAAACCCUAGCUUGGUCCUAAGGUUCAUUUAUACCUAGAGGUCAGGAAUAUAGACAGGAAUCUGAGAUGAAGCCGCGGGGCUGAAUGUUUGUUCUCUGAUUUUUACUAUGACUAAUGGAUACAAGGCUGAGAACUCAAGAGGAUGGCGAGUUUAUCAUUUGUGUUUCUCCUCACUUUGCCUAUGUCCUAAGUGCCUAGUAAUUUGUAUAAAUUUCCAGACAGGAAAUAUUCUAAUCCCUCUUACACAUGGAAGUUCUCUGAGUAUAACAACCACUCUCUGUAGUUAGGAGACAUAUUGUAUAAAAUGCUCCCAACUCAUUAGACAUUUGAAUGUGAAAUUCCUGUCACAGGGUUUAGGUGGGUUUUCCAGUGUGCUUUCCUGAGAAGUCAUCUGAUUUGUGUCCUUUUGCUCAAAUGAUGAAGUUGGAGCUUUUUGUGUAUAAACAUUCAUGUUCUGUAUCUGUUGCUGACCUCUACAUACUUGGCACAAUGUAAAGGGAAGAGUUCAGGGAAAACUUGAGAGUUCCCUUCUCUUGAGGUCUUUGAAAUAAAUCUUUGUGAAGGAAUACCACUGCACAUUUUCUCAUAAGGCUAAAAGUCCACUGUGUAUGUAUACAUGAAACAACUCAACCAUUGUUGGUGAGUGGCAUUUUAUAGUUUUCUGUCUCAGCGCAGACAGAUGAGUAUUUAGAUAUUUCCAGGAGCUUUGAUUAUAUCUGUAUUUCAUUUGUGGAGUUGUUUGGACAAUGUAUGGCUGGUUUAAUGUUUAUUCUUAUAUCAUCAUGCCUAAUAGAUGUGAUGUGAAGUAGGAAUUAAGAAACUCACAUAUAUAUACAUACAUACACACAUACAUACAUACAUACAUACAUACAUACACACACACAUACACACAUACAUAUGUGUGAGUAUAUGUGAGUGUGUGUGUGUAUGCAUGUCUGUGUCUCUGUAUGUGGUUGUUCAGACACCAAAAGUGGUUCUGAAAGUUUUGCAUUGCCUACUGACAGACAUUAUGUAUCAAGAACUCACAUUAUCAUAGGUCACUGAAUUAAUUUAAGAAAUACGAAUUGACAUCACUACUUUAGGGAAUUAUGGGCUGCUGUUUGAAAUACUGUCUUUGUAAAAUUUGAAAAUUUAGAAUAAAUUUUAUUUUUAGAGUGUAGGGCCCUUGUGAAUGAAGUGUUGGUUUUUUCCAAAUCCCAGGGUUUAUGGACAAAUGGUAGACUCCUUCCAUCUCCUCAUCAAAAUAGCUGAGUGUUUUUGUCUCCAUUGACUCUUGAGUGUAAUCUUUAAAUGGAAAGAGAGUUCAAAAAGGCAUUUAAAACUUUUCAGAGGUGUGUUCAAAAGUCAUUUGUUAUUUGUGAAAGAAGGCAGCCAUAAUUAGUAUUCCUUGAGUGCUAUUGUAUUUGAAUGCAUUUAUAGUCUGUCAAAUCUAAUGUGUUUUAAAUGAGAUCAUUAAGAAAUAAAAUUUUUCAUUGUCACUACAGCAGGGGCUGUGUAAAUCCUUUCUGCUACAAGACUCUCAGUAAUUCAGCUGAGUACCCUUGACACCCUAGUUCUUAGUGGCAGCCAUUUACAAUUGUAUGCACUGAACUUGGUUCCUUGGUGUCUUAAUUAUCUUCACUGAACAAUUAUAUCCUUUGUUUUCUAAAGCACUUUGACCAACACACUGAGGAGUAUGAAUGUAGAAGGCCAUUGAUUUUGUAACCAAGCAGACAACGUGUGUGAGCAAGGUCAGGGGCUAGCAUAGGUUCUUAGGAUCAUUUUAUGUUAGGCUCUUGGAAUACUAAAUAGCAGAUGUAUUUGGGGUUCUUCCAAGUUUGCAUUAUAAUUGUGUGUAGGGUAAAAGCAUUCAUGCAAGCCACUCAAAAAAUUUCAGAGUGGCAUAACUGAUUUUUCACAAAUAUUUUACACUUAAAUGUAAUGGAAAUUCUAUGUACAGAAUUUAAGCUAAGUUAUUUCCUAAAUAUCUUAAUUAUUAAAGAGUGUACAAAAUAAAUAGGCAAAGCAUCUGGUUUUAAAAUUUGUAACCUAGUAUGAAAAUAGCUUCUAGUGCCUUAAAAUAGUGGGGCAUAUGUUAGCAAUACAGUCUAUACAUGCAUGAAGUUUUUUUUUUAAAGAAAGAAAGAAAGAGAGAGAGG
rnacentral:lncRNA from 1 species